rnacentral:rRNA from 1 species
UUAAGCGACUAAGCGUACACGGUGGAUGCCCUGGCAGUCAGAGGCGAUGAAGGACGUGCUAAUCUGCGAUAAGCGUCGGUAAGGUGAUAUGAACCGUUAUAACCGGCGAUUUCCGAAUGGGGAAACCCAGUGUGAUUCGUCACACUAUCAUUAACUGAAUCCAUAGGUUAAUGAGGCGAACCGGGGGAACUGAAACAUCUAAGUACCCCGAGGAAAAGAAAUCAACCGAGAUUCCCCCAGUAGCGGCGAGCGAACGGGGAGCAGCCCAGAGCCUGAAUCAGUGUGUGUGUUAGUGGAAGCGUCUGGAAGGCGUGCGAUACAGGGUGACAGCCCCGUACACAAAAAUGCACAUACUGUGAGCUCGAUGAGUAGGGCGGGACACGUGGUAUCCUGUCUGAAUAUGGGGGGACCAUCCUCCAAGGCUAAAUACUCCUGACUGACCGAUAGUGAACCAGUACCGUGAGGGAAAGGCGAAAAGAACCCCGGCGAGGGGAGUGAAAAAGAACCUGAAACCGUGUACGUACAAGCAGUGGGAGCACGCUUAGGCGUGUGACUGCGUACCUUUUGUAUAAUGGGUCAGCGACUUAUAUUCUGUAGCAAGGUUAACCGAAUAGGGGAGCCGAAGGGAAACCGAGUCUUAACUGGGCGUUAAGUUGCAGGGUAUAGACCCGAAACCCGGUGAUCUAGCCAUGGGCAGGUUGAAGGUUGGGUAACACUAACUGGAGGACCGAACCGACUAAUGUUGAAAAAUUAGCGGAUGACUUGUGGCUGGGGGUGAAAGGCCAAUCAAACCGGGAGAUAGCUGGUUCUCCCCGAAAGCUAUUUAGGUAGCGCCUCGUGAAUUCAUCUCCGGGGGUAGAGCACUGUUUCGGCAAGGGGGUCAUCCCGACUUACCAACCCGAUGCAAACUGCGAAUACCGGAGAAUGUUAUCACGGGAGACACACGGCGGGUGCUAACGUCCGUCGUGAAGAGGGAAACAACCCAGACCGCCAGCUAAGGUCCCAAAGUCAUGGUUAAGUGGGAAACGAUGUGGGAAGGCCCAGACAGCCAGGAUGUUGGCUUAGAAGCAGCCAUCAUUUAAAGAAAGCGUAAUAGCUCACUGGUCGAGUCGGCCUGCGCGGAAGAUGUAACGGGGCUAAACCAUGCACCGAAGCUGCGGCAGCGACGCUUAUGCGUUGUUGGGUAGGGGAGCGUUCUGUAAGCCUGUGAAGGUGUACUGUGAGGUAUGCUGGAGGUAUCAGAAGUGCGAAUGCUGACAUAAGUAACGAUAAAGCGGGUGAAAAGCCCGCUCGCCGGAAGACCAAGGGUUCCUGUCCAACGUUAAUCGGGGCAGGGUGAGUCGACCCCUAAGGCGAGGCCGAAAGGCGUAGUCGAUGGGAAACAGGUUAAUAUUCCUGUACUUGGUGUUACUGCGAAGGGGGGACGGAGAAGGCUAUGUUGGCCGGGCGACGGUUGUCCCGGUUUAAGCGUGUAGGCUGGUUUUCCAGGCAAAUCCGGAAAAUCAAGGCCGAGGCGUGAUGACGAGGCACUACGGUGCUGAAGCAACAAAUGCCCUGCUUCCAGGAAAAGCCUCUAAGCAUCAGGUAACAUCAAAUCGUACCCCAAACCGACACAGGUGGUCAGGUAGAGAAUACCAAGGCGCUUGAGAGAACUCGGGUGAAGGAACUAGGCAAAAUGGUGCCGUAACUUCGGGAGAAGGCACGCUGAUACGUAGGUGAAGCGACUUGCUCGUGGAGCUGAAAUCAGUCGAAGAUACCAGCUGGCUGCAACUGUUUAUUAAAAACACAGCACUGUGCAAACACGAAAGUGGACGUAUACGGUGUGACGCCUGCCCGGUGCCGGAAGGUUAAUUGAUGGGGUUAGCGCAAGCGAAGCUCUUGAUCGAAGCCCCGGUAAACGGCGGCCGUAACUAUAACGGUCCUAAGGUAGCGAAAUUCCUUGUCGGGUAAGUUCCGACCUGCACGAAUGGCGUAAUGAUGGCCAGGCUGUCUCCACCCGAGACUCAGUGAAAUUGAACUCGCUGUGAAGAUGCAGUGUACCCGCGGCAAGACGGAAAGACCCCGUGAACCUUUACUAUAGCUUGACACUGAACAUUGAGCCUUGAUGUGUAGGAUAGGUGGGAGGCUUUGAAGUGUGGACGCCAGUCUGCAUGGAGCCGACCUUGAAAUACCACCCUUUAAUGUUUGAUGUUCUAACGUGGACCCGUAAUCCGGGUUGCGGACAGUGUCUGGUGGGUAGUUUGACUGGGGCGGUCUCCUCCUAAAGAGUAACGGAGGAGCACGAAGGUUGGCUAAUCCUGGUCGGACAUCAGGAGGUUAGUGCAAUGGCAUAAGCCAGCUUGACUGCGAGCGUGACGGCGCGAGCAGGUGCGAAAGCAGGUCAUAGUGAUCCGGUGGUUCUGAAUGGAAGGGCCAUCGCUCAACGGAUAAAAGGUACUCCGGGGAUAACAGGCUGAUACCGCCCAAGAGUUCAUAUCGACGGCGGUGUUUGGCACCUCGAUGUCGGCUCAUCACAUCCUGGGGCUGAAGUAGGUCCCAAGGGUAUGGCUGUUCGCCAUUUAAAGUGGUACGCGAGCUGGGUUUAGAACGUCGUGAGACAGUUCGGUCCCUAUCUGCCGUGGGCGCUGGAGAACUGAGGGGGGCUGCUCCUAGUACGAGAGGACCGGAGUGGACGCAUCACUGGUGUUCGGGUUGUCAUGCCAAUGGCACUGCCCGGUAGCUAAAUGCGGAAGAGAUAAGUGCUGAAAGCAUCUAAGCACGAAACUUGCCCCGAGAUGAGUUCUCCCUGACCCUUUAAGGGUCCUGAAGGAACGUUGAAGACGACGACGUUGAUAGGCCGGGUGUGUAAGCGCAGCGAUGCGUUGAGCUAACCGGUACUAAUGAACCGUGAGGCUUAACCUU